CCCUUAGAUGUUCUGGGCAGCACGCGCGCUACAAUGGUCUUCGCAAACGGAUGCAUUCUCGAAGGAGAAUGCCAAUCUUGGAAUCUAUGCCUUGGUCGGGACAGUUGCUUGCAAUUUUUCGACUCGAACCAGGAAUUCCUUGAAAUCGUGAUUCAUCACAUCACGAUGAAUACGUCCCUGCCCUUUGUACACACCGCCCGUCGCUCCUACCGAUCGAAGAGUUAGGUGAAUUGUUUUGAUCGAUAAGAUUUGACUAUGGUCAACUCUCGUUGUGAAAUUCUGUGAAUCUGACUGUUUAGAGGAAGGAAAAGUCGUAACA
rnacentral:rRNA from 1 species